GGGCCGGUGGCGCAACUGGCAGCGCGCCUCAAUGGCAUUGAGGAGGUUGUGGGUUCGACCCCCAUCCGGUCCACCC
rnacentral:tRNA from 2 species